rnacentral:rRNA from 1 species
CCUACGGGGGGCUGCAGUGGGGAAUAUUGGACAAUGGGGGGAACCCUGAUCCAGCCAUGCCGCGUGUGUGAAGAAGGCCCUCGGGUUGUAAAGCACUUUCAGUGAGGAAGAACGCCUGGUGGUUAAUACCCAUCAGGAAAGACAUCACUCACAGAAGAAGCACCGGCUAACUCCGUGCCAGCAGCCGCGGUAAUACGGAGGGUGUGAGCGUUAAUCGGGAUUACUGGGCGUAAAGCGCGCGUAGGUGGCUUGAUAAGCCGGUUGUGAAAGCCCCGGGCUCAACCUGGGAACGGCAUCCGGAACUGUCAAGCUAGAGUGCAGGAGAGGAAGGUAGAAUUCCCGGUGUAGCGGUGAAAUGCGUAGAGAUCGGGAGGAAUACCAGUGGCGAAGGCGGCCUUCUGGACUGACACUGACACUGAGGUGCGAAAGCGUGGGUAGCAAACAGGAUUAGAUACCCCUGUAGUC